UACGUAGGGGGCAAGCGUUAUCCGGAAUUACUGGGUGUAAAGGGUGCGUAGGCGGCAAUGCAAGUCUGAUGUGAAAACCUGGGGCUCAACCUCAGGAUUGCAUCGGAAACUGCGUAGCUAGAGUGCAGGAGAGGAAAGUGGAAUUCCGAGUGUAGCGGUGAAAUGCGUAGAGAUUCGGAGGAACACCAGUAGCGAAGGCGACUUUCUGGACUGUAACUGACGCUGAGGCACGAAAGCGUGGGGAGCGAACAGG
rnacentral:rRNA from 1 species